UGGGGUGGGAGGAAUUUAUUUCCAACAGAACCAGAGCAGGAGAAAAAGAGCCCAAAAUCCAACUUUGCCCUCCCCCAAUUCCCGGCGUUCCCUCGGUCCCUCCGGACAUUCAGGGGAGUUUUCCGUGAUUUCUCAACUUUGGGAAGAGUUUUCCAUGGAUUUCUUGGCUAUGGGAAAGAAUUUUCCAAGGAUUUCUCAAUUAUGGGAAGAGUUUUCCAUGGAUUUCUCCAAGAUGAUUCCAUCUCACAGUGAGUUUUCCAUGGAUUUCUCAGCUAUGGGAGAGUUUUCCAUGGAUUUCUUGCUUAUGGGAAGAGUUUUCCAUGGAUUUCUCCAAGGUGAAUCCGUCUCACAAUGAGUUUUCCAUGGAUUUCUCAACUAUGGAAUUUUCCAUGGAUUUCUCCAAGGUGGAUCCAUCCCACAGUGAGUUUUCCAAGGAUUUCUCAGCUAUGGGAAGAGUUUUCCAUGGAUUUCUUGUCCAUGGGAAGAAUUUUCCAUGGAUUUCUCCAAGGUGAAUCUAUCCCACAGCGAUUUUUCCAUGGAUUUCUCAACUUUGGGAAGAGUUUUCCAUGGAUUUCUUGGUUAUGGGAAGAGUUUUUCAUGGAUUUCUCAAUUAUGGGAAGAAUUUUCCACGGAUUUCUCAGCUAUGGAAUUUUCCAUGGAUUUCUUGGCUAUGGGAAAGAAUUUUCCACGGAUUUCUCAGCUAUGGAAUUUUCCAUGGACUUCUUGGCUAUGGGAAAGAGUUUUCCAUGGAUUUCUCCAAGGUGAAUCCAUCCCACAAUGAGUUUUCCAUGGAUUUCUCAGCUAUGGAAUUUUGCAUGGAUUUCUUGGCUAUGGGAAAGAGUUUUCCAUGGAUUUCUCCAAGAUUAAUCCAUUCCCAGGUAAGUUUUCCAUGGAUUUCUCAACUUUAGGAAGAGUUUUCCAUGGAUUUCUCCAAGGUGAAUCCAUCCCACAGCGAUUUUUCCAUGGAUUUCUCAGCUAUGGAAUUUUCCAUGGAUUUCUUGGCUAUGGGAAAGAGUUUUCCAUGGAUUUCUCCAAGGUGGAUCCAUCCCACAGUGAGUUUUCCAUGGAUUUCUUGGCCAUGGGAAGAGUUUUCCUUGGAUUUCUUGGCUAUGGGAAAGUUUUCCAUGGAUUUCUCAACUAUGGGAAGAAUUUUCCAUGGAUUUCUCCGAGGUGAGUUCGUCCCACAACAAGUUUUCCAUGGAUUUCUUGGUUAUGGGAAGAGUUCUCCAUGGAUUUCUCCAAGAUGAAUCUAUCCCACAGUGAGUUUUCCAUGGAUUUCUCAACUAUGGAAUUUUCCAUGGAUUUCUCCAAGGUGAAUCCGUCCCCAGGUAAGUUUUCCAUGGAUUUCACCGAGAUAAAUUCCUGAUGGAUUUUUCCAGAGGGUCAAUCCUUGGGGAACAUCCUGCUCCAAAGGUUUGACUCUCCAUGGGAUUCCUCCCAGGAAUCUGCUUUUUUUUUUUUUUCCAUGGAAUCUUCAGAUCCUUGCCAAGAUCCAGCUCCAGGAUAAGCUUGGAAUUUUUGGGAAUUUCCACUCCAGCACCAUGGAAUCGUCUCCAGACUCGUUUCUCUGCAAAAUUCCCGCUCUGGAAUUCCUGGAUUGGUUUCUUCCAACUUCAAUCUCAUUCCAGAAGCGACGCCGCCGUUCCCGACGGGAUCGGGAGAAGCUUCCGGAAACUUCCCGUGGAAUCAAUCCAGCCCCCCCGGAGCCUCCCGGGAUUUUGGCCACGCAAAGCCAAAAUUCCUGAUGGAAAUUCCAAUUUUUCUG
rnacentral:lncRNA from 1 species